GACGAACGCUGGCGGCGUGCUUAACACAUGCAAGUCGAACGGAAAGGCCCUGCAUUUGUGGGGUGCUCGAGUGGCGAACGGGUGAGUAACACGUGAGUAACCUGCCCUUUACUUUGGGAUAACUUCAGGAAACUGGGGCUAAUAUCGGAUAUGAGCUCCUUCUGCAUGGGGGGUGUUGGAAAGUGUUGGCGGUUGGGGAUGGACUGGCGGGUUAUCACCUUGUUGGUGGGGUAGUGGCUUACCAAGGCUUCGACGGGUAGCCAGCCUGAGAGGGUGACCGGGCACAUUGGGACUGGGAUAGGAGCCAGACUCAAACGGGGGGCAGCGGCGGGAAACAUUGCACAAUGGGCGGAAGCCUGAUGCAGCAACGUCGCGUGCGGGAUGACGGCCUUCGGGUUGUAAACCGCGUUCGCCUGUGACGCAGCGUGAGUGACGGUAAUGGGUAAAGAAGCACCGGCUAACUACGUG
rnacentral:rRNA from 1 species